GUGGGGAAUAUUGGACAAUGGGGGGAACCCUGAUCCAGCCAUGCCGCGUGUGUGAAGAAGGCCUUUUGGUUGUAAAGCACUUUAAGCGAGGAGGAGGCUACCGAGAUUAAUACUCUUGGAUAGUGGACGUUACUCGCAGAAUAAGCACCGGCUAACUCUGUGCCAGCAGCCGCGGUAAUACAGAGGGUGCAAGCGUUAAUCGGAUUUACUGGUCGUAAAGCGCGCGUAGGUGGCCAAUUAAGUCAAAUGUGAAAUCCCCGAGCGUAACUUGGGAAUUGCAUUCGAUACUGGUUGGCUAGAGUAUGGGAGAGGAUGGUAGAAUUCCAGGUGUAGCGGUGAAAUGCGUAGAGAUCUGGAGGAAUACCGAUGGCGAAGGCAGCCAUCUGGCCUAAUACUGACACUGAGGUGCGAAAGCAUGGGGAGCAGACAGGAUUAGAUACCCGAGUAGUCC
rnacentral:rRNA from 1 species